UGCCUUACACAUGCAAGUCGAACGGCAGCGCGGGGCAACCUGGCGGCGAGUGGCGAACUGGUGAGUAAUAUAUCGGAACGUACCCUGGAGUGGGGGAUAACGUAGCGAAAGUUACGCUAAUACCGCAUACGAUCUAAGGAUGAAAGUGGGGGCUUCGCAAGAACCUCAUGCUCCUGGAGCGGCCGAUAUCUGAUUAGCUAGUUGGUAGGGUAAAAGCCUACCAAGGCUUCGAUCAGUAGCUGGUCUGAGAGGACGACCAGCCACACUGGAACUGAGACACGGUCCAGACUCCUACGGGAGGCAGCAGUGGGGAAUUUUGGACAAUGGGCGCAAGCCUGAUCCAGCAAUGCCGCGUGAGUGAAGAAGGCCUUCGGGUUGUAAAGCUC
rnacentral:rRNA from 1 species